GCCCACUCCAGGCCUCACCCUCCAGGCUGGGAGCCCCGCCCACUCCAGGCCUCACCCUCCAGGCUGGAAGUUCUGCCCUCCCAGGCCUCUGGAUCCUGGCUGGGAGCCAUCUCUGCCUGCUCCCUUUUCCUGGACUCCUGAUCAGAUAUUCCUCAACCGUGACAUCAGCAACCAUCUUAGGCCAUUGGCAGGGAGUGAGCUGACUACUCCCCAGGGUCUCAGGUAAGGAAAAGAUAAUGGUUUUCAGUUUGUAAGGUCAGCGUGAACAGUAUCUCCCAGAGGCCUCUGUACUAUGAUUACAGCCACCUUGGCAUAAAUGAGCACUUAUCAAAUCCACGAGAGGCAAACAGACAUCUGCAGGCAGC
rnacentral:lncRNA from 1 species